UACGGGAGGCAGCAGUGGGGAAUAUUGGGCAAUGGGCGAAAGCCUGACCCAGCAACGCCGCGUGAGUGAAGAAGGCCUUCGGGUUGUAAAGCUCUGUUAUAGUUGACGAAGGAAGUGACGGUAGGCGUGAUAAGGAAGCCCCGGCUAACUACGUGCCAGCAGCCGCGGUAAAU
rnacentral:rRNA from 1 species